rnacentral:miRNA from 1 species
GUUUGGAAUGUGCGAGAUGUGUGC